rnacentral:rRNA from 1 species
AUCUAAGUACCCCGAGGAAAAGAAAUCAACCGAGAUUCCCCCAGUAGCGGCGAGCGAACGGGGAGGAGCCCAGAGCCUGAAUCAGCAUGUGUGUUAGUGGAAGCGUCUGGAAAGGCGCGCGAUACAGGGUGACAGCCCCGUACACAAAAGCGCAUGUGCUGUGAGCUCGAUGAGUAGGGCGGGACACGUGGUAUCCUGUCUGAAUAUGGGGGGACCAUCCUCCAAGGCUAAAUACUCCUGACUGACCGAUAGUGAACCAGUACCGUGAGGGAAAGGCGAAAAGAACCCCGGCGAGGGGAGUGAAAAAGAACCUGAAACCGUGUACGUACAAGCAGUGGGAGCACAGGUUUACCUGUGUGACUGCGUACCUUUUGUAUAAUGGGUCAGCGACUUAUAUUCUGUAGCAAGGUUAACCGAAUAGGGGAGCCGCAGGGAAACCGAGUCUUAAUUGGGCGUUAAGUUGCAGGGUAUAGACCCGAAACCCGGUGAUCUAGCCAUGGGCAGGUUGAAGGUUGGGUAACACUAACUGGAGGACCGAACCGACUAAUGUUGAAAAAUUAGCGGAUGACCUGUGGCUGGGGGUGAAAGGCCAAUCAAACCGGGAGAUAGCUGGUUCUCCCCGAAAGCUAUUUAGGUAGCGCCUCGUGAAUUCAUCUCCGGGGGUAGAGCACUGUUUCGGCUAGGGGGCCAUCCCGGCUUACCAACCCGAUGCAAACUGCGAAUACCGGAGAAUGUUAUCACGGGAGACACACGGCGGGUGCUAACGUCCGUCGUGAAGAGGGAAACAACCCAGACCGCCAGCUAAGGUCCCAAAGUCAUGGUUAAGUGGGAAACGAUGUGGGAAGGCCCAGACAGCCAGGAUGUUGGCUUAGAAGCAGCCAUCAUUUAAAGAAAGCGUAAUAGCUCACUGGUCGAGUCGGCCUGCGCGGAAGAUGUAACGGGGCUAAACCAUGCACCGAAGCUGCGGCAGCGACGCUGAUGCGUUGUUGGGUAGGGGAGCGUUCUGUAAGCCUGUGAAGGUGUGUCGUGAGGCAUGCUGGAGGUAUCAGAAGUGCGAAUGCUGACAUAAGUAACGAUAAAGCGGGUGAAAAGCCCGCUCGCCGGAAGACCAAGGGUUCCUGUCCAACGUUAAUCGGGGCAGGGUGAGUCGACCCCUAAGGCGAGGCCGAAAGGCGUAGUCGAUGGGAAACGGGUUAAUAUUCCCGUACUUGGUGUUACUGCGAAGGGGGGACGGAGAAGGCUAUGUUGGCCGGGCGACGGUUGUCCCGGUUUAAGCGUGUAGGUGUGUGUUCCAGGUAAAUCCGGUUCACUUUAACACUGAGGCGUGAUGACGAGGCACUACGGUGCUGAAGCAACAAAUGCCCUGCUUCCAGGAAAAGCCUCUAAGCAUCAGGUAACAUCAAAUCGUACCCCAAACCGACACAGGUGGUCAGGUAGAGAAUACCAAGGCGCUUGAGAGAACUCGGGUGAAGGAACUAGGCAAAAUGGUGCCGUAACUUCGGGAGAAGGCACGCUGACAC